UGGGGAAUUUUGGACAAUGGGCGCAAGCCUGAUCCAGCCAUGCCGCGUGCGGGAAGAAGGCCUUCGGGUUGUAAACCGCUUUUGUCAGGGAAGAAAUCUUCUGAGUUAAUACCUCGGGAGGAUGACGGUACCUGAAGAAUAAGCACCGGCUAACUACGUGCCAGCAGCCGCGGUAAUACGUAGGGUGCAAGCGUUAAUCGGAAUUACUGGGCGUAAAGCGUGCGCAGGCGGUUUUGUAAGACAGAGGUGAAAUCCCCGGGCUCAACCUGGGAACUGCCUUUGUGACUGCAAGGCUUGAGUGCGGCAGAGGGGGAUGGAAUUCCGCGUGUAGCAGUGAAAUGCGUAGAUAUGCGGAGGAACACCGAUGGCGAAGGC
rnacentral:rRNA from 1 species